rfam:TPA: Bos taurus chromosome 16, whole genome shotgun sequence.
UCCUUGUUGGUCCAGUGGUUAGGACUCUGCACUUUCACUGCUGAGGAUGUGGGUUCAAUCCUUGGUCAAGGAA